CCCAAACAAUUUCAGGAACAAGAUGUCCUAGCAUAGUGCUGUGAAAAUGGCAUUGGAUUUCUAGUCAGAGGACUAGGACCUAGCUCUAAAUAUGUGAUCCAAUUAACUUCUAAAGGAGUUCAGUUAAUGGAGAGAUAGAUCUUUGAGGCCCAAAGUUGUUGAAUCACUUGGAGGAGUCAGAACAUUAGUCACACCUGGCACAGUCUUGAUUUCAAGUUUUUCUACCACACAAAUUGGACAAAUAAGAGUAGGCCUGAAUUCCCAAAGGGAGCUUGUAUGUUUCAAGUAUCACCUUAGUAGCUCUGCUACUUACCAUCUUGAAGAAAUGUAACUGUGACCUUGGAUUUUAUCCAAAGACUUUCGGGACUGGGGAAUCGUUGGCCAGCUGUGCCUCUGAACCUCUGCUUUUCACUCUCACCUGCUUUGAGAAAUUUGAUCAACUCCAACAGGGACAUGAAAUAUUCAUUCACUGCUCCUAGAGAUUGUUGUCCUGUGACUGCCCAGGGUUAAACUAGGAAAUAUUCCUCACAUUGAUUGUACCUCAAUAGCAUUUGUCCAAAACAUUUCUUGGCAAAAUCAGAGUAAAGUAUUUUUAAAAAUAUUUAAUUAAAAAGUCAACAUAGAACUUUGGUAAUAAAUUAAUUUCAAGGAAAAAAAAACUGUAUCA
rnacentral:lncRNA from 1 species